CAUAAGGAAUACAGACAUACGGACAUAAGGAAUACAGAGUUCGCCCAACUUAUCUUCCACGCUGGCUCUCUGAUGAUAGAAUGCAAUUGUUCUUGGGAGCUUUUUGGCGGUCAUUUAAAAUGCUACAUUUUCAAACCGAGUUGGCCGAACUUUGUACAGCCCACAUUAUGACUUUGAAGGGUUUCCUGAACUCGGUCCUGGUUUUUGUCCUAGAAAUACACAGCUGACUCAAAUAAUCAAAGCUUGAUGACGAGUUGGUCAUUUGAUUUCACUGUGUAGUGCUGAUUUCACUGUGUAGUGCUGAUUUCGCUGUGUAGUGCUGAUUUCGCUGUGUAGUGCUGAUUUCGCUGUGUAGUGCUGAUUUCACUGUGUAGUGCUGAUUGUAGUGCUGAUUUCACUGUGUAGUGCUGAUUUCACUGUGUAGUGCUGAUUUCACUGUGUAGUGCUGAUUUCACUGUGUAGUGCUGAUUUCACUGUGUAGUGCCGAUUUCACUGUGUAGUGCCGAUUUCACUGUGUAGUGCCGAUUUCACUGUGUAGUGCUGGGGGGGAAAGGAAAUGUGCACCCCUUGGAAUCCCCAGGACAGAGUUUGGAAAAUGCUGGAGUAGAGAGAGACAGAUGGACAACAUAUGGCAGCCAACUAGUGGGCCAUGUAGGUUAGUUGGACUGAGACACUGAGUCUUUCAUCCACAUCAGUACCAUGUAGGUGAGUCGUACAUCCACAUCUACAGCAGUCUCAGUACCAUGUAGGUUAGUUGGACUGAGACAGAGUCUUUCAUCCACAUCAGUACCAUGUAGGUUAGUUGGACUGAGACACUGAGUCGUACAUCUACAGCAGUAUCAGUACCAUGUAGGUUAGUUGGACUGAGACACUGAGUCGUACAUCUACAGCAGUAUCAGUACCAUGUAGGUUAGUUGGACUGAGACACUGAGUCGUACAUCUACAGCAGUAUCAGUACCAUGCAGGUUAGUUGGACUGAGACACUGAGUCUUUCAUCCACAUCAGUACCAUGUAGGUGAGUCGUACAUCCACAUCUACAGCAGUCUCAGUACCGUGUAGGUUAGUUGGACUGAGACAGAGUCUUUCAUCCACAUCAGUACCAUGUAGGUUAGUUGGACUGAGACACUGAGUCUUUCAUCCACAUCAGUACCAUGUAGGUGAGUCGUACAUCCACAUCUACAGCAGUCUCAGUACCGUGUAGGUUAGUUGGACUGAGACAGAGUCUUUCAUCCACAUCAGUACCAUGUAGGUGAGUCGUACAUCCACAUCUACAGCAGUCUCAGUACCGUGUAGGUUAGUUGGACUGAGACAGAGUCUUUCAUCCACAUCAGUACCAUGUAGGUUAGUUGGACUGAGACACUGAGUCUUUCAUCCACAUCAGUACCAUGUAGGUGAGUCGUACAUCCACAUCUACAGCAGUCUCAGUACCGUGUAGGUUAGUUGGACUGAGACACUGAGUCGUACAUCUACAGCAGUCUCAGUACCGUGUAGGUUAGUUGGACUGAGACACUGAGUCGUACAUCUACAGCAGUCUCAGUACCAUGCAGGUUAGUUGGACUGAGACACUGAGUCGUACAUCUACAGCAGUAUCAGUACCAUGUAGGUUAGUUGGACUGAGACACUGAGUCGUACAUCUACAGCAGUCUCAGUACCGUGUAGGUUAGUUGGACUGAGACACUGAGUCGUACAUCUACAGCAGUCUCAGUACCAUGCAGGUUAGUUGGACUGAGACCCAGUGAGUCGUUCACUUCACUUCGUCAGUGUGUUACAGGAUGUUUGUAAGGUGCAUGUGUGGUGAGUGUAGUACGAGGUACACGUGGAAUCAUCAUAACCAAUAACAAACUGCAUAGCAUGCAGUUUGACAGAGUCAAAGAUGGACAUUUCUGACCACUUUUAAAACAGACACAUUUUUCCCUCCCAGUAAAUUAAACCAAGCCAGAUAACCCAUGGCAUCGGGAUACAACCAAGCCAGAUAACCCAUGGCAUCGGGAUACAACCAAGCCAGAUAACCCAUGGCAUCGGGAUACAACCAAGCCAGAUAACCCAUGGCAUCGGGAUACAACCAAGCCAGAUAACCCAUGGCAUCGGGAUACAACCAAGCCAGAUAACCCAUGGCAUCGGGAUACAACCAAGCCAGAUAACCCAUGGCAUCGGGAUACAACCAAGCCAGAUAACCCAUGGCAUCGGGAUACAACCAAGCCAGAUAACCCAUGGCAUCAUGAUAAAUGCUGCAGAGGACAUAAAGACAGUCCAAAAUCUCACUAGCAUGGAUACAAGGUUGUGAUGAUCAAUAUGACUUGGUUACAACCCCCCCCCCCAAAAAAAAAAAUAUGUAUUUACACGAUAGAUGUCGUUGCCAAUGUUUCCCCCGCAAAAAUGUCCAUAUGUUGUUGAUAAAUCACUUUUUCAACCAGACAGGACUGAUGCAAAGUGGGCAGUGUGUAUGAGUAUCUGGACAGGUACUGAGUCAGACUGGAUCAGACUGACUUCCCACAAUAUCAUUUCAGUCA